AGGGACACAUUUACGACCGUCGUAAUUGUGAAUUAGAGAUCUCCCAGGCCAAGUGAAAUGAAAUUACGAGAAACUGAAAUCUGUUUUAAUUGGAGCAUUUAUGGAAAAAAGAAGUCAGACUGGCUGCUUUUUUCCUUUAUGUGGCUCCCCGAUUCGGGACGAUACCUGGGUCUGGAAGCCAGGGCCCGCCAAACGGCGACAGAGCGGGGACGAAGAGAGAGAGAGAAUGAGGGAGAGACAGCCCUGCCCCUCCACGGCCACCCUGCAGGCUGUGCCUCACCGGCACUUCCUCCUCUUUCCCAGGAAACACUUCGGACUUACCAUUCCCCUGCGCUCCGACGUCGUUGCCUCUCGGAGCCUCCGUGGAGAAGGAAAGCUUGACUUCUGUGCUCAGAAGAUGCUCUCUUGAAUGUCAGACAGAUGUUGGGUGGCUGGCGGAGGGCAUGCACUUCUGGCCACUUCGUGACAGCCUGCACACCGCCCCCAUCCCCAACCAGGCAGUGCCAAGGCUGGGGGAGUCCUGGCACACAGAAAGCACCCACUAAACAUUUGCUUAAUUAAUGAAAAAAUGCAUGGAGUGAAUUGAUUCCCCAGCUCACAGUCUCCUCAGUGGGGGCUCUCACAGCCAGCCUCUCAAAAGGCCAUUCCCUCCCUGGAGCAGGAUACUCCUUUGUUCUAAGAGCUGUGUUUCCCAGGUGAGCGCCACACCCCUCACAGCAAAAUAGACAGCGGGUCUGCAUUCUCACCCAGCACGGUGCCUGGUCCACAGGAGAGGCUCCACAAAUGUGUGUUCUCUCUCUUUUAAUGAGAGAGAGGCUCAUUUUCCUCCUGGAAGAAGGGCUACCUGGAAAUGAAUGCACGUUUUUACAAACUGCCGCACUGGGCUGCCCGGAGGUGAACACGUGCUGGGAGGACGCACCCAGAGGCCAGCUGGGUGCUGAGGCUGAGUUCUGAGCUUCGGGUUUGGCCACAGACCCUGAAUGCAGACCUAUCCACGGAUGGGGAGGGGGCAGCCAAUUGCUGGACCUUUCUGUAGUGUCAUCUGACUGCCUGUACAUAGUUGAUGUCCAAGAGAAACCAUUGCAAGAGAUGAAUUGGAUGUGGACGAGGCUGCCUCCGAGUGAUGCUGCCUCAACGCCCCUGGGGCACCCCCAGGCACAAUCACUCACUCCUGAGGCCCCCUGGGCAAACAUCUGUCGCUACUUUGUGUUGCAAUCUGCUUACAGCACCUGGGUCCAAGUUGAGACUUCUUCCUAAAGCUGUGAACGGAGGACGGACAGCCUUACUCAUCUCAGCACCAGCUCUUGCCGCCACCAGGUGCAAUUCCACGGGCGGUGGGUACCUGCUUCUCCUAGGUGUUGGGGCCGGACCCAGGCACUGCCUUCAGAUGCAGCAAUCUGCCCCUGGAUUCCUAAGGAGAAGGAAUUCCCUGUCCACCAGAGGAAGAACACAGAGUUCCUCUGCCACCAUUCCCCUUGGAGGGUGCGCUGACACCCUGGACGCCGGAAGCUUGUGGGUGACUGUGGCCCCGGCUCAGACCGCACAGCACCACGAGGGAGUGGCGGUGGUGACAGGUGCUGUGGUGGGUGAUGUGAGUGGCAAGUGUGGACAUGUCAGCCCCAUGGCCCUGCCAUGCCCCCGAGAAAGGGCAUAGCCCUCUGCCGUGGGAGCAGUGACUUGCAAAUAGGCCCAGACGUGACCUCAGGGGAGACACGAGUCCCCAGGCCAGCAGCGAACUUGUUCUGGAGACACCACAUUUCUGCAGCCCGUGGUGUUAGAGAGGUUGGUUUCAGAGAGCUCUCUAGAAGAGGCAAAUUUGAAGUGAAGAUUUGAAAACCAGAGUUGUCAUGUGUGAAAGGAGACCCACUGGCUACCUCAGUAGAAAAAUCGGAUGUCAACUUCCAGAACAGCAUGGUCAUCUCAAGUCAAGUGCGUUCUGUGAGAUCCAUUCAAGUGGCCUUGACAGCUUUCUUCUUGUGAAGGCUGGGCAGGCAGCAGGACGCUCUCCCGCCCUGACUCCACACGGGUGUUUGGUUGAUGCUGGAAUUCCAUCGGCUGAUAUUUCAGUUAGUUUUCAAUUAUUGACUCUGGGUGACACUGUCUCUGAUAUGAAGCCGGCAAAUGUAUAAAGCAGAAUGCAUGUUUUCUUCUCAGCUGCCCUCAGGAUCAUCCACUGACCCGAGCCCAUCAUGAAUAUUUUGCCCACACGGGGUUAGUUUAUACAAAACAGUGGCAUAUUUUAUCUUAGAAUCUGUGGAAAAGAUAGA